GACGAACGCAGGCGGCGUGCUUAACACAUGCAAGUCGAGCGGAAAGGCCACUUCGGUGGUACUCGAGCGGCGAACGGGUGAGUAACACGUGAGUAAUCUGCCCCUGGCUUUGGGAUAGCCACCGGAAACGGUGAUUAAUACCGGAUACGACCACUUCUCGCAUGGGAUGGUGGUGGAAAGUUUUUUCGGCCAGGGAUGUGCUCGCGGCCUAUCAGCUUGAUGGUGAGGUAAUGGCUCACCAUGGCUUCGACGGGGAGCCGGCCUGAGAGGGUGACCGGUCACACUGGGACUGAGACACGGCCCAGACUCCUACGGGAGGCAGCAGUGGGGAAUAUUGGACAAUGGGCGGAAGCCUGAUCCAGCAACGCAGCGUGAGGGAUGACGGCCUUCGGGUUGUAAACCUCUUUCAGCAGGGACGAAGCGCAAGUGACGGUACCUGCAGAAGAAGCACCGGCCAACUACGUGCCAGCCGCCGCAGUAA
rnacentral:rRNA from 1 species